UUUUUUUUUUUUUUUUGAAAGAUAGAUAGUACGCUAUCCGUUUCGUUUAUUUUAUUUAGAAAUAAACUUAACUGGAAAUGUGAAUCAACUAGGAUUCGAAUUUGGGCCUGAAGUACCAACUACCAAGUCCUUUGCCACUUGCUCUAGAGACGGUCGGUCUAAUACUUCGAUUUCGAGUGUAAUAAAUGUAUUGCGUUUUAAAGGUUGAGAUGUUGUGGUUAUAAGCGAUUUGGAAGCGCCGCCAUGUUGUCACGUUUGCUUAUAAUAAUAACAUAAGAGAGGGUACCAAAGAUAUGUGGCAUCCAUUAAUUACCAUGAGAAGAAGCUAAUUAAGCUAAUUUGUUAGCUAAUCAAGCUUAAGUUUUAACUGUUCAACGUGCGAUUCAAGUUGAAUCUGAUGUUUGAUGAGCUAAUCCAGU
rnacentral:lncRNA from 1 species